rnacentral:rRNA from 1 species
GGGGAAUAUUGCACAAUGGGGGAAACCCUGAUGCAGCGACGCCGCGUGGAGGAAGAAGGUCUUCGGAUUGUAAACUCCUGUUGUUGAGGAAGAUAAUGACGGUACUCAACAAGGAAGUGACGGCUAACUACGUGCCAGCAGCCGCGGUAAAACGUAGGGUGCAAGCGUUGUCCGGAAUUACUGGGUGUAAAGGGAGCGCAGGCGGACCGGCAAGUUGGAAGUGAAAACUAUGGGCUCAACCCAUAAAUUGCUUUCAAAACUGCUGGCCUUGAGUAGUGCAGAGGUAGGUGGAAUUCCCGGUGUAGCGGUGGAAUGCGUAGAUAUCGGGAGGAACACCAGUGGCGAAGGCGACCUACUGGGCACCAACUGACGCUGAGGCGCGAAAGCGUGGGGAGCAAACAGGAUUAGAUACCCUGGUAGUCCACGCUGUAAACGAUGGAUACUAGGUGUGCGGGGACUGACCCCCUGCGUGCCGCAGUUAACACAAUAAGUAUCCCACCUGGGGAGUACGAUCGCAAGGUUGAAACUCAAAGGAAUUGACGGGGGCCCGCACAAGCGGUGGAUUAUGUGGUUUAAUUCGAAGCAACGCGAAGAACCUUACCAGGUCUUGACAUCCCGAUGACCGCCUUAGAGAUAAGGCUUUUCUUCGGAACAUCGGAGACAGGUGGUGCAUGGUUGUCGUCAGCUCGUGUCGUGAGAUGUUGGGUUAAGUCCCGCAACGAGCGCAACCCUUACGGUUAGUUGAUACGCAAGAUCACUCUAGCCGGACUGCCGUUGACAAAACGGAGGAAGGUGGGGACGACGUCAAAUCAUCAUGCCCCUUAUGACCUGGGCUACACACGUACUACAAUGGCAGUCAUACAGAGGGAAGCAAAACCGCGAGGUGGAGCAAAUCCCAAAAAGCAGUCUCAGUUCGGAUUGAAGGCUGAAAUUCGCCUUCAUGAAGCCGGAAUUGCUAGUAAUGGCAGGUCAGCAUACUGCCGUGAAUACGUUCCCG